GACGAACGCUGGCGGCGUGCUUAACACAUGCAAGUCGAACGGAAAGGUCCUGCUUUUGUGGCGUGCUCGAGUGCCGAACGGGUGAGUAACACGUGAGUAACCUGCCCUUGUCUUUGGGAUAACUUUAGGAAACUGGGGCUAUUACCGGAUAUGAUCUCCUGCUGCACGGUGGGGGUUGGUAAGUUUCGGCGGUUGGGGAUGGACUCGCGGCUUAUCAGCCUGUUUGUGGGGUAGUGGUAUACCAAGGCUGUGACUGGUAGGCGGCCUGGGAGGGUGGCCAGGGUCCUUGGGCCUAAGAUACGGACCAGAAUGCUACGGGAGGCAACAGGGGGAAAUAUUGCACAGUGAGCGGGAGUCUGAUACGGCGACGCCGGGUGCGGGAUGACGGCCUUCGGGUUAUAAACAACUUUCGACUUAGACGUGGCGUGAGUGACGGUAAUGGAUAAAGAAGCACCGGCUAACUACGUG
rnacentral:rRNA from 1 species